UGAUUUUAGUUCACCGGUAGCGCUACACUGAGCAAAAACUCUCAUCUAAAAACAUUUUUCGUUCUUGUUCUUGAUUGACAUUUGUGAUCUCUGAUAAGAAAUUGUCGCGCAAUGAAACGAGUUGCGGUGUUGUUUUUCGUUAUUUUGGUUUGUUGUGAAAUUUAUGUUCAAGCAUCCGAAAACAGAGUGCUGGAGCCGAAUACAUGUGUUGCUGGAACCACUUGGAGUGAUGGAUGCAAUACAUGUUCCUGCUAUGAAGGCGGCAGAAGUGCGUGCACUUUGAUGGCUUGUUUAGACUUAAGUGAACUUCAAAAGGACAAAGUUGUAAAGAAGCGAUCAACAGAAGAAUGCGAGCCAGGAACAAAAUUCUAUCGUGAAUGUAACAGAUGCGUUUGCACACCUUCUGGAAAAGCUGCUUGUACAAAAAAGAGAUGCUUUUAUUAAUUUUCUUUUUAAUUUUUUGAAACAUAAAUAAAAAUAAGUUUGAUAAAAAUAUUUUUUUUUCUGUCAUAUUUUUUUGGAGUGAUCAGAUUAAAACUUAAUUUAUUUAUUUAUUUAAAAUUUAUUUAUUUUAUUUUAUUUAUUCAUAUUUGUACAAUUUUUGUUACGGACUAAAUAAUCUACUGUAACGCCAGGGAGGUGGCUUCUAACAAAUUAAUUCAAUUUACAAUGUUGUCGGAGCAAGAUUUAAUUUUUUAACUGUUUUAAUUUAUUUAUGAGAGGAAAAUCUCCAGAAUAUAUUUAUUUAGAAUUUUUGACAAAACAGAAUUAAAAACUUGACAAACCAGUUUUCAAUAACAAAAACUAACAUAAAUAUAUGUAUAACUGAAUUUCAUAUAAAUAAACCAAAUAAAUCCGUCCUGACCACAGUCAACAAUCAAAAUUCUUCAAAAAAACAUCUCAAAAAUAAUCAUGAAACUUUUUUGGUACCUAACAUUUGCUAUCUUAGCAGUUUUGGUCUUGGGAACAAGAGCGGAAGAAGAAUAUAAAGAAAUCUCCGCACCUCCUCCAGAAGACCAACCGUGCGAACAUAAUACAACUUGGAAAGUAGAAUGCAAUGAAUGUGUUUGUAGAAAUGGAAUGGCAAUUUGCACUCGCCGUACAUGUAAAGACGAAGAAUAGGCCACAAAACAAAGUUUCAAAAUAAAUGCUUAUAAAAUUA